UACGGAGGGUGCAAGCGUUAUCCGGAUUCACUGGGUUUAAAGGGUGCGUAGGCGGGUAGGUAAGUCAGUGGUGAAAUCCUGGAGCUCAACUCCAGAACUGCCAUUGAUACUAUCUAUCUUGAAUAUUGUGGAGGUAAGCGGAAUAUGUCAUGUAGCGGUGAAAUGCUUAGAUAUGACAUAGAACACCCAUUGCGAAGGCAGCUUACUACGCAUAUAUUGACGCUGAGGCACGAAAGCGUGGGGAUCAAACAGGAUUAGAAACCCUCGUAGUCC
rnacentral:rRNA from 1 species